rnacentral:lncRNA from 7 species
UUACUGCUACUUAUAUGUUUUCAGCUUUCCCAGUGUGCUGUAACAGAAAAGCCCAGCCAGCAGGUGAACAGCAACUAGUAACAGCUGAAUUCAAGGAUGAGAGAUUAGAGGCCAAUUGUCCUCUGGGGGACCUGAAGCUGGAGAGCAUCACUGGGAGCAGAGGAGAAACAGGUGUUGGAAUCCAGUUCUGUAAAGUAAAUGGAGGAUCCGUCUGUGCUUUUCUACCAGUCUGUUUCUGCAUGGACAGGCUGUUCUUUCAGCACAAAUGAAAGAGGAUUCAGCUGGGGACAAUGGAUGAUACUGUGAGGACAGUUUCCCAGAUUUGUGGACAGUUUGGUGAUGCAGCUUCAGCUCCUUCAAAUAAACUGCACCACUGUGACUGACAGCUUCAUUGAUAACCUCAUAAACUACAGGGAGAGAAUGAUGGGUGCUGCACACAGACAUGAUAUUCUUCCAAAAGCCUUCAUUGAUCCUUCUGCUUAAAAAUUGUACAACUAUAUUCUUAGUUUAUCUUGUUAUUGUGGUGUCAUUAUUUAGCUGUUAGAUGAUCUUUGGUCCUGUAAAACAGUUACCUAAAAUGCAGUAUAGAAGGUGAAAUUUUAUCACUCCCAACCCAGGUGAAUAUGCACUUUGCACAUUCAAGAAAAGAACAGUUUGGAGAAAAAAUGUAGUGACACACAAAAUACAGCUUCUUCUACACUUUGAGUCUUCAAUUUUUUAUUUGAUAAUUUGUUUAUACAAAUUUGUAGUUGUUUCUUAUGAUUAUAUAUUUGAUUCUAAACCUAAGCAUGUUUAUACUACUGAUAAAAUUGCUGUGUGAGUUGUUUUGAUACAUUAGCUUCAGUAUUUAUAAGCAAAACAAAAAAUGAGCUAAGUUUCUAUAUAUAUCUCUAAAAGGAAAGUCACAAUCUCUGUGAAAAUGUAUUCUCACUGCACAGAGUAAUUAGUGAAAGAUGUUUGUAGAUUUCAUAAUUUCUGCUCUUCUCUAGUAAUUUAAGUAAUAUUCUCUUGUUAGCCAGAGAUGUGCCUGUGUUAAAUUAAUCUGUAAGUACAACAAGUAUAAUAAAUUUACCACAAAUUGUAGAUAUCUCCUGAUUUUCUGAUGGUAUAUUAACAACAAUCAUUUAUUAAUUAAAUACUUUCCAUUCAGGUAUGAUGAGUCUUAUAUAGCCUUAUAAGGCUAAUAUUAUUAGAACAUUACAGAGUAAACCCGAGCAAAAGGAAUCAAUCUGUUUUACUAACUGUCCUUGCAUAAUUCUGUAGACCCAUCUCCUUUGCUCUGUGCUGACAU